rnacentral:rRNA from 1 species
AUUGAACGCUGGCGGCAUGCCUUACACAUGCAAGUCGAACGGCAGCACGGGUGCUUGCACCUGGUGGCGAGUGGCGAACGGGUGAGUAAUACAUCGGAACGUACCUUAUCGUGGGGGAUAACGCAGCGAAAGCUGUGCUAAUACCGCAUACGCCCUGAGGGGGAAAGCGGGGGAUCGAAAGACCUCGCGCGAUUAGAGCGGCCGAUGCCUGAUUAGGUAGUUGGUGGGGUAAAGGCUCACCAAGCCAACGAUCUGUAGCUGGUCUGAGAGGACGACCAGCCACACUGGGACUGAGACACGGCCCAGGCUCCUACGGGAGGCAGCAGUGGGGAAUUUUGGACAAUGGACGCAAGUCUGAUCCAGCCAUUCCGCGUGCAGGAUGAAGGCCCUCGGGUUGUAAACUGCUUUUGUACGGAACGAAAAGGUCUCUAUUAAUACUAGGGGCUCAUGACGGUACCGUAAGAAUAAGCACCGGCUAACUACGUGCCAGCA